rnacentral:rRNA from 1 species
AGCAGCCGCGGUAAUUCCAGCUCCAAUAGCGUAUAUUAAAGUUGUUGCAGUUAAAAAGCUCGUAGUUGAAUUUCGGGAUUCUACCGUCGGUCGGGCUACCAAGUCUGUACUGGUGUGUAGAAUUCCUACCUUCUGGGGAACCAUCAUGUUAUUAAUUUAGCGUGGUGGGAAACCAGGACCUUUACCUUGAAAAAAUUAGAGUGUUCAAAGCAGGCUUAUGUCUGAAUACAUUAGCAUGGAAUAAUAGAAUAGGACGGUGGUCCUGUUUUGUUGGUUUCUGAAUCACCGUAAUGAUUAAUAGGGAUAGUUGGGGGCAUUAGUAUUCAAUUGUCAGGGGUGAAAUUCUUGGAUUUAUUGAAGACUAACUUCUGCGAAAGCAUUUGCCAAGGAUGUUUUCAUUAAUCAAGAACGAAAGUUAGGGGAUCGAAGACGAUCAGAUACCGUCGUAGUCUUAACCAUAAACUAUGCCGACUAGGGAUCGGACGAUGUUAAAUUUUAUUGACUCG